CAGUCGCCACGGUAAUACGGAGGGUGCAAGCGUUAAUCGGAAUUACUGGGCGUAAAGCGCACGCAGGCGGUCUGUCAAGUUAGAUGUGAAAUCCCCGGGCUUAACCUGGGAACUGCAUUUGAAACUGGCAGGCUAGAGUCUUGUAGAGGGGGGUAGAAUUCCAGGUGUAGCGGUGAAAUGCGUAGAGAUCUGGAGGAAUACCGGUGGCGAAGGCGGCCCCCUGGACAAAGACUGACGCUCAGGUGCGAAAGCGUGGGGAGCAAACAGGAUUAGAUACCCCAGUAGUCCCUGUCUCUUAUAC
rnacentral:rRNA from 1 species